GAUGAACGCUGGCGGCGUGCCUAAUACAUGCAAGUCGAGCGAACGGACGAGAAGCUUGCUUCCCUGAUGUUAGCGGCGGACGGGUGAGUAACACGUGGAUAACCUACCUAUAAGACUGGGAUAACUUCGGGAAACCGGUGCUAAUACCGGAUAAUAUUUUGAACCGCAUGGUUCAAAAGUGAAAGACGGUUUUGCUGUCACUUAUAGAUGGAUCCGCGCUGCAUUAGCUAGUUGGUAAGGUAACGGCUUACCAAGGCAACGAUGCAUAGCCGACCUGAGAGGGUGAUCAGCCACACUGGAACUGAGACACGGUCCAGACUCCUACGGGAGGCAGCAGUAGGGAAUCUUCCGCAAUGGGCGAAAGCCUGACGGAGCAACGCCGCGUGAGUGAUGAAGGUCUUCGGAUCGUAAAACUCUGUUAUUAGGGAAGAACAUAUGUGUAAGUAACUGUGGACAUCUUGACGGUACCUAAUCAGAAAGCCACGGCUAACUACGUG
rnacentral:rRNA from 1 species